rnacentral:lncRNA from 1 species
GGCCAACACCCUCAGUACCAGCUUCACCUACUGCCCAAGCUCCACAACGUGUACCUUCUAAGUCGUCUGAUGGAUCAGCAUCAGGCAGCAGUGAAUACUCCAUCUUCCCCACAGCUUCAGUAUUUAGGGAUAGUGCAGAUGGUGGUACUAAUAGUGAUGAUGAGGUACCGGAUAGUGGUGUGCCCCAGGUUGGGGGUAUGGAAUGAACUAGAAACCAUGAGGUCUGGGAAGAUCGAUUUGUUAGUCAAGUGGCAUUUCAUAAGUUUAGGGAAUGGUGGUCAGUAUGGAAAUUGAUUCCAGAGAGGAGUAUCAUUACAAGUGACCUACUACCCUUGCUUCCAUAUAUUCAUAGGCAGUUUCAUACUAGAGUGGGAUGGGUGCAUUUUUGGGAUCAUUUAACAGAUGCCAAUGAGCACAUGGUGAAGGAGUUCUACUGCAAUAUGGCCCACGUCAAAGAAGGUUCAAUUGUGACCAAAGUGCAAAACAGAAAUGUUGUGUUCUCUGGGAAAGCUUUCAAUGAGUACUUGGGGUUUGACGACAAGGAGGAGACCCAAUACAAUGAGAAGUUGUCAAUGGGUGAAAAGGUUCACUCAUGGGUAGCUAGGUACAUGGCUCACCUGGGUACUGUUCCAGAUUGGAUACAAGCGGGAGUGGAGAUUGUCCGGAGAACACUGAACUUUGAAGCUAGGGGUGGUUGACCUUCGUGUGCAAGCGACUUGAUCAUACGGCCCAUGAUCAAACUAUACUACUUCCCCGUGUAGUUUUGAUUGCUUCUAUCAUGGGGGGAUUCCCUAUCAAUGUGGGAAAUGUGAUGCACCGGGCCAUUACUUCGAUGAGGGUUUAUAGUGAUUGGAACUACCCGUUUCCUAACACUCUCACUAUGUACUUCCAGGAUUUGAAAGUAAAAAAGAAGUCCUAUGAUGUGAAGGUAAGACCAGUGGCUCCAUUCUCAUGGUUUAGCAUACAGGGGCCUGACAACCCGAAGGACAAGAAGUACAAGACCAACUUCUGCCCCAAUUGGCCAGUCUGAGGAGCCAGUUGCGGUAGAGUCUUCCGUUGAGCCUUUCACCGAGCUUCCAUCCGUGCCUGCUGCCACUGUUAGUGAUGACUUACCUCUAGGACAUCCUCCUCGACUGGACUCACCACUUCAGCUGGCCCGGGGGUCCUCUCCUCCUGGGCUCAUCCUUUCACGACCCAUCAGUUGAGCCAGACUUUAGCUAGUUUGAACAACUGGAUGUCAGCUGUGACAUAUUUUGUUUUACAUUGUCUACCACAGUUGAGGCCCAUUAAACACCUCACACAGCUCAGAUUCCUCAAUCCAUUGAGGAUACACUGAAUAAAGGGCAAGAAGUACAAGCCCCCAACUUCUUCCCCAAGUGGCCAGUCUGAGGAGCAAGUUGCAGUAGAGUCUUCCGUUGAGCCUUUCAUCGAGCUUCCAUCCAUGCCUGCUGCCACUGUUAGUGAUGAAUUACCUCCAGGACCAUCCUCCUUAGCUGGACCCAGCACUUCAGCUGGCCCAGGGGUCCCUUCCUCUCGUUCUCAUCCAUUCACUGCCCAUCAGUUGAGCCAGACAUUAGCUAGUUUGAACAACUGGAUGUCAGCUGUGACAUCUAAGUUGUCUACAUUGUCUACCACAGUUGAGGCACAUUCAGCACCUCCCACAGCUCAGAUUCCUCAAUCCAUUGAGGAUACACUAAAGAAGCUCUUAGAAAACCAGGAGAAGGUUAUGAGGACUCAAGACGCCUUGACUAAGGCGGUGGAUUCGCAUGGCAACGCUUUGAAUAAGCUUGCCAAGGAGCACAGGAAGAUGAGAAAGUCAAGGGCUUCUAAGGAGUCGGUGAAAGUACUAAGGACUGAUAUGGACAAGCCAUUGGCAGACCAGAUGCUUGUAGACUUCCUAUUUGGGAAUCCAGCCACAGCAGCAGCACUAGUACCACAGCCACAGCCAUAGCUGGAGUAGUAGUAGACACCCAGACCUCCAAGGAAGAAGAGGAAGCUUCCUAGUUCAGUUGGUACAAUUAUCGAGCUAGUGGACCCACAGGAGGUUCCUUUCAAUGUUCCACCUAUCAAUCAGUUGGUUCACGAGUAGACCCCAGUCCGAGUAGCUGAGCAGCAGGAGUCAAGGAACCUGUCUUAGGUUCCUGUACAAACAGAGGACUUGGGGACCACUGAUGACCCCAUGCAGACGGACCAGUCUUAGGGAGCUUUUAUAUCCUUUCUUAUGACUUUUUUAGUGCUUAUUUUGAUAGUCGGCAUUGGGGACAAUGCCAGCUCUUAUUCAUGAGGGUGCACCCUACUUUUUGUUUAUCUAGAUAACUGUAUAUAUUUGACUUAGUCUAUGUUUAUGUGAUUUUCUAUUUUGGUAUGUACAUAACUUUACAUUGAG